rnacentral:rRNA from 1 species
UUGAAAGGGAAACGAUUGAAGUCAGUCGUACCAGCGGGAAAUCAACCUUUCGAGGGGGGUUUUGGAGUUUUGAAGAGUGUCAAAACCUUUGAGAUUUCAAAAUUUUCGCUCUUUUGGUGUACUUUCUCGUGGGUAGGUUAACAUCGAUUUUGAUCAUCAUAAAAAGAUUGGAGGAAUGUAGCUUCGAUCUUGUAUUGAAGUGUUAUAGCCUUUGGUAAAUGUGAUGAUUAGGAUCGAGGAUUGCAACGAAUACCCUUUUGGGCUAUCCGCCUGAUCUCUGAUACGUGGCCUUGGUAUCGAAAGCUUGCUUAUGGUAUUAAGGUAUUACGGUCAAAAGGUUAGAACGGAUUACAUUCGUUAAGGAUGUUGACGUA